AUACCUCUGGAGACGAAUGCAUCUGACCAAUCUCGGUCUCUACUGCAGAGUUGGAUAAACUGUCCCUCAUUUUCUGAAAAUAUUUCUGAGUCUGUUUUUUCACUGGAUGCUGCAGUAGAGGGUCAGCAAAAUAAUUCUGUAGCUUGUGGGUGAUCCGCAGAGAGAGAAAGAAGUAAUUUCAGAUUAUUGGAUUGCCAACUCGCAUGAAAAGCCCGCUGGGGAGGGAAGUUCACAUUCAGUGGAGACUGACUUGUGUGCAGAAACUACCAAAGCAACAUCAAGGAGAGCAAGGCAGUUAAGAGAGACCUCCUCAAGAAAGUGCAGAGAUGGUGUUUCCAGUUGUCACCAAAUACUACAAGAGACUCAGCAGAGGAUAUCUCACAAUGGCAAUACAACAAGAAACAAAGCUAAGGAUUUUGAAAAAAUUCAGAAGUCUACUUCUAAAGACAAGCAGGAUCUAGAAAUCAACAUAUGUCAUGGGAUGAUAACUCUGAAUGGGAAUAGAAAAGCUGAGCAGACAAGGAGAAGCGAAAGAAUCAAAAAGAAAAUUAGACAAGAAGCCUCUAUUAGGAAUUCUGUAAAUCCUAUUUUCCCCAUUUCACUUUCAAGAAUCAAUAGGAAGAAUAUUUUUGGUGAGACCUUACUGCAUAAAGCUGUUGCUGAUGAAGAUGUAGACCUUGUAUGUAGUAUAAUAAAAGCUGGUGGAAAUGUAAAUGCUCAGGAUUAUGCUGCUGGAGAGGAUGCAGAGAGUAUGCUAAGUGCUCAAAGUUUAGAAGAUACAAAUCUGCACCAGAUGAAGGAGUGUUUGCUGAAAUAA
ensembl:lncRNA